UACUCGAGUGGCGAACGGGUGAGUAACACGUGGGUGACCUGCCCUGCACUCUGGGAUAAGCCUGGGAAACUGGGUCUAAUACCGGAUAGGACCAUGCUUUAGUGUGUGUGGUGGAAAGUUUUUUCGGUGUAGGAUGAGCCCGCGGCCUAUCAGCUUGUUGGUGGGGUAAUGGCCUACCAAGGCGGCGACGGGUAGCCGGACUGAGAGGUUGGUCGGCCACAUUGGGACUGAGAUACGGCCCAG
rnacentral:rRNA from 1 species